rnacentral:rRNA from 1 species
CCUACGGGAGGCAGCAGUGAGGAAUAUUGGUCAAUGGACGAGAGUCUGAUCCAGCGAAGUAGCGUGAAGGAUGACUGCCCUAUGGGUUGUAAACUUCUUUUAUAAGGGAAUAAAACGAGGCACGUGUGCCUUUUUGCAUGUACUUUAUGAAUAAGGAUAGGCUAACUCCGUGACAGCAGCCGCGGUAAUACGGAGGAUCCGAGCGUUAUCGGGAUUUAUUGGGUGUAAAGGGAGCGGAGAUGGGUUGUUAAGUCAGUUGUGAAAGUUUGCGGCUCAACCGUAAAAUUGCAAUUGAUACUGGCAGUCUUGAGUACAGUUGAGGUAUGCGGAAUUCGUGGUGUAGCGGUGAAAUGCUUAGAUAUCACGAAGAACCCCGAUUGCGAAGGCAGCUUACUAAACUGUGACUGACAUUGAUGCUCGAAAGUGUGGGUAUCAAACAGGAGUAGAUACCCUUGUAGUC